rnacentral:rRNA from 1 species
CCUACGGGAGGCAGCAGUGAGGAAUAUUGGUCAAUGGGCGCGAGCCUGAACCAGCCAAGUCGCGUGAGGGAAGACGGUCCUAUGGAUCGUAAACCUCUUUUGUCGGGGAGCCAAAGCCGCCACGCGUGGCGUUCCGAGAGUAACUGACGAAAAAGCAUCGGCUAACUCCGUGCCAGCAGCCGCGGUAAUACGGAGGCUGCGAGCGUUAUCCGGAUUUAUUGGGUUUAAAGGGUGCGCAGGCGGAAGAUCAAGGCAGCGGUAAAAUCGCGAGGCUCAACCUCUUCCCGCCGUUGAAACUGGUAUUCGUGAGUGAGAGAGAAGUAUGCGGAAUGCGCGGUGUAGCGGUGAAAUGCAUAGA